rnacentral:rRNA from 1 species
GUGGAGCAUGUGGUUUAAUUCGAUGCAACGCGAAGAACCUUACCUGGUCUUGACAUCCACAGAAGAAUCCAGAGAUGGAUUUGUGCCUUCGGGAACUGUGAGACAGGUGCUGCAUGGCUGUCGUCAGCUCGUGUUGUGAAAUGUUGGGUUAAGUCCCGCAACGAGCGCAACCCUUAUCCUUUGUUGCCAGCGGUUAGGCCGGGAACUCAAAGGAGACUGCCAGUGAUAAACUGGAGGAAGGUGGGGAUGACGUCAAGUCAUCAUGGCCCUUACGACCAGGGCUACACACGUGCUACAAUGGCGCAUACAAAGAGAAGCGACCUCGCGAGAGCAAGCGGACCUCAUAAAGUGCGUCGUAGUCCGGAUUGGAGUCUGCAACUCGACUCCAUGAAGUCGGAAUCGCUAGUAAUCGUGGAUCAGAAUGCCACGGUGAAUACGUUCCCGGGCCUUGUACACACCGCCCGUCACACCAUGGGAGUGGGUUGCAAAAGAAGUAGGUAGCUUAACCUUCGGGAGGGCGCUUACCACUUUGUGAUUCAUGACUGGGGUGAAGUCGUAACAAGGUAACCGUAGGGGAACCUGCGGUUGGAUCACCUCCUUACCUUAAAGAAGC